rnacentral:rRNA from 1 species
GCUUAAAGAGGGGUUAAUGUCCUAUCAGCUAGUUGGUGGGGUAAUGGCCUACCAAGGCAAAGACGGGUAGCCGGCUUGAGAGGGUGGUCGGCCACACUGGGACUGAGACACUGCCCAGACUCCUACGGGAGGCUGCAGUCGAGAAUCUUUCGCAAUGCCCGAAAGGGUGACGAAGCGACGCCGCGUGUGGGAAGAAGGCCUUCGGGUUGUAAACCACUGUCGGGAGUUAGGAAAUGCAAGAGCGUUAAUAGCGCACUUGCUUGACUAAGGCUCCAGAGGAAGCCACGGCUAACUCUGUGCCAGCAGCCGCGGUAAUACAGAGGCGGCAAGCGUUGUUCGGAAUUAUUGGGCGCAAAGAGCACGUAGGCGGCCUUGCAAGUCAGUUGUGAAAGCCUUCCGCUUAACGGAAGAACGGCAUCUGAUACUACAGGGCUUGAGUACGGGAGGG